rnacentral:rRNA from 1 species
UCUUGGCUCCUCACACGAUGAAGUACGUGGCAUAAUGUGUUAAGUAACCGGAGUUGCAAACAUCAUGACAGGUUAAUCUUUGAAUGCAAAUUGCGCUAAACUCGAUCUCGGUCGAGAAGCAUGGGUGUGACAGUACUACAUCUUUUAUAAUAAUUCUUAUUCUAAGCGAAUAAGUAAAUAAUAUAUAAGACAAACAACACGUAGUCUGCCAUACGCAGGAAGACCCGCUGAAGUGAAGCAUCUCAUUAAGCGG